rnacentral:rRNA from 1 species
AGCGAACGCUGGCGGCAGGCCUAACACACGCAAGUCGAGCGAACCCUUCGGGGUUAGUGGCGGACGGGUGAGUAACACGUGGGAACGUGCCUUUAGGUUCGGAAUAACUCAGGGAAACUUGUGCUAAUACCGAAUGUGCCCUUCGGGGGAAAGAUUUAUCGCCUUUAGAGCGGCCCGCGUCUGAUUAGCUAGUUGGUGAGGUAAUGGCUCACCAAGGCUACGAUCAGUAGCUGGUCUGAGAGGAUGACCAGCCACAUUGGGACUGAGACACGGCCCAAACUCCUACGGGAGGCAGCAGUGGGGAAUCUUGCGCAAUGGGCGAAAGCCUGACGCAGCCAUGCCGCGUGGAUGAUGAAGGUUUUAGGAUUGUAAAAUCCUUUCACCGGUGAAGAUAAUGACUGUAGCCGGAGAAGAAGCCCCGGCUAACUUCGUGCCAGCAGCCGCCGUAAAAC